CCUCCGGGAGGCAGCAGUGAGGAAUAUUGGUCAAUGGGCGGAAGCCUGAACCAGCCAAGUCGCGUGAGGGAUUAAGGCCCUGCGGGUCGUAAACCUCUUUUGCCGGGGAGCAGUGGUCCGGCCGCGUCCGGACCGGGAGAGUACCCGGAGAAAACGCAUCGGCUAACUCCGUGCCAGACGCCGCGGAACUACGGAGGAUGGGACGGUUCUCCGGAUGUAUUGGGUUUAAAGGGUGCGUAGGCGGGCCAUUAAGCCGGCGGUAAAAUGGCGGGGCUCAAACCCGGCCUGCCGUCGGACCUGGGUGCCUUGAGUGGGCGAGAAGUAUGCGGAAUGCGUGGUGUAGCGGUGAAAUGCAUAGAUAUCACGCAGAACCCCGAUUGCGAAGGCAGCAUACCGGCGCCCUACUGACGCUGAGGCACGAAAGUGCGGGUAUCGAACAGGAUUAGAUACCCCUGUAGUC
rnacentral:rRNA from 1 species